AUGAACGCUAGCGACAGGCCUAACACAUGCAAGUCGAGGGGCAGCACAAGGAGCAAUCUGAGGUGGCGACCGGCGCACGGGUGAGUAACACGUAUGCAACCUGCCUGUAAGCGGGGAAUAACCCGUUGAAAGACGGACUAAUACCGCAUAAUACUAAAUUACUGCAUGGUAAUUUAUUUAAACAUUUAUGGCUUACAGAUGGGCAUGCGCAUGAUUAGCUAGUUGGAGAGGUAACGGCUCCCCAAGGCAACGAUCAUUAGGGGCUCUGAGAGGAAGGUCCCCCACACUGGUACUGAGACACGGACCAGACUCCUACGGGAGGCAGCAGUGAGGAAUAUUGGUCAAUGGACGAGAGUCUGAACCAGCCAAGUCGCGUGCAGGAAGAAUGUCCUAUGGAUUGUAAACUGCUUUUGCAGGGGAAUAAAGUGCAUCACGUGUGAUGUUUUGUAUGUACUCUGCGAAUAAGGAUCGGCUAACUCCGUGCCAGCCGCCGC
rnacentral:rRNA from 1 species